rnacentral:rRNA from 1 species
ACAGGUGGUGCAUGGUCGUCGUCAGCUCGUGCCGCAAGGUGUCCAGUUAAGUCUGGGAACGAGCGCAACCCUCACUCUAUGUUAGAAUGUCAUAGAGGACUGCCCCGGUAACGGGGAGGAAGGAGAGGAUGACGUCAGAUCCUCAUGCCCCUUACGUUUAGGGCUUCAUAGACAAUACAAUGGGUAGUACAGCGGGAAGCGAAAUCGCGAGAUGGAGCAAAUCCUACAAAGCUAUCCCUAGUUCGGAUUGUAGUCUGGAAUUCGACUACAUGAAGUCGGAAUUGCUAGUACUGGCAGGUCAGCAUACUGCCGUGUAUAUGUCCCUGUUCCUUGCACUCACCGCCCGUCAAACCAUGGGAGUUG